AACGGCCAUAUCACGUUGAAACACCGGUUCACAUACGAUCUCUUAAGCAACGUCGCGCUUGAUCACUACCUAGAUGGGCGACCACUUGGAAAUAUCAGGUGUU